rnacentral:rRNA from 1 species
UACGUAGGGGCUAGCGUUAUCCGGAUUUACUGGGCGUAAAGGGUGCGUAGGCGGUCUUUCAAGUCAGAGGUGAAAGGCUACGGCUCAACCGUAGUAAGCCUUUGAAACUGGGAAACUUGAGUGCAGGAGAGGAGAGUGGAAUUCCUAGUGUAGCGGUGAAAUGCGUAGAUAUUAGGAGGAACACCAGUUGCGAAGGCGGCUCUCUGGACUGUAACUGACACUGAGGCACGAAAGCGUGGGGAGCAAACAGGAUUAGAUACCCGGGUAGUCCCUGAG